GUCUAUGGCCAUACCACCCUGAACGUGCCUGAUCUCGGAAGCUAAGCAGGGUCGAGCCUGGUUAAUACUUGGAUGGGAGAGAUCAAAUCUACUAGAGAGA
rnacentral:rRNA from 1 species